rnacentral:rRNA from 1 species
AUACGUAGGGGGCAAGCGUUGUCCGGAAUUACUGGGCGUAAAGGGUGCGUAGGCGGUCUCUCAAGUCAGAUGUGAAAUCCCCGGGCUUAACUCGGGUGGUGCAUUUGAAACUGGGAGGCUAGAGUGCAGGAGAGGGAAGCGGAAUUCCUAGUGUAGCGGUGAAAUGCGUAGAUAUUAGGAGGAACACCAGUGGCGAAGGCGGCUUUCUGGACUGUAACUGACGCUGAGGCACGAAAGCGUGGGGAGCAAACAGGAUUAGAUACCCUGGUAGUCCACGCUGUAAACGAUGGAUACUAGGUGUAGGGGGCGUAGAGCCUUCUGUGCCGCAGCAAACGCAAUAAGUAUCCCGCCUGGGGAGUACGGCCGCAAGGUUGAA